rnacentral:rRNA from 1 species
CUACGGGUGGCACCAGUGGGGAAUAUUGCACAAUGGGCGCAAGCCUGAUGCAGCCAUGCCGCGUGUAUGAAGAAGGCCUUCGGGUUGUAAAGUACUUUCAGCGGGGAGGAAGGGAGUAAAGUUAAUACCUUUGCUCAUUGACGUUACCCGCAGAAGAAGCACCGGCGAACUCCGUGCCAGCAGCCGCGGUAAUACGGAGGGUGCAAGCGUUAAUCGGAAUUACUGGGCGUAAAGCGCACGCAGGCGGUUUGUUAAGUCAGAUGUGAAAUCCCCGGGCUCAACCUGGGAACUGCAUCUGAUACUGGCAAGCUUGAGUCUCGUAGAGGGGGGUAGAAUUCCAGGUGUAGCGGUGAAAUGCGUAGAGAUCUGGAGGAAUACCGGUGGCGAAGGCGGCCCCCUGGACGAAGACUGACGCUCAGGUGCGAAAGCGUGGGGGGCAAACAGGAUUAGAUACCCUAGUAGUC